rnacentral:siRNA from 1 species
AACUUUUUGUGCCAAAUUGUCCG